GACGAACGCUGGCGGCGUGCUUAACACAUGCAAGUCGAACGGAAAGGCCCUGCUUUUGUGGGGUUCUCGAGUGGCGAACGUGUGAGUAACACGUGAGUAACCUUCCCUUGACUUUGUGAUAACUUCAGGAAACUGGUGCUAAUACCUGAUAGGAGCUCCUGCUGCAUGGUGGGGUUUGGAAAGUUUAGGCGGUUUGGGAUGUACGUGCGGCUUAUCAGCUUGUGGGGUGGGGAGUGGCUUACCAAGGCUUUGACGGGUAGCCGGCCUGAGAGGGUGACCAGACACAAGGGGACUGAGAGAGGGAGCAGACUCCUACGGUGGGCAACAGUGGGGAAUAUUGCCCAAUGGGCGGAAGCCUGAUGAAGAAACGCCGCGAGCGGGAUGAAGGUCUUGGGGUUGUAAACCGCAUUCACCUGUGACCAAGCGUGAGUGACGGUAAUGGGUAAAGAAGCACCGGCUAACUACGUG
rnacentral:rRNA from 1 species